rnacentral:rRNA from 1 species
AUGGCGAGCAGGCGGUGGCCAUGGACGCGAAGCAGCACGACGGCAAGCUCGCGGCAGGCUUCUGCAGCCACGGAAGAGGACGAGGCAAGGGGCGUCAGAGCUCCAUGGAUCGGGUGCAGCGCGACGCAGGAGGGAGGACGAGGGAAUUGGGGAUCGGGCGCUGGGAGCUGCGGCCUUGUGCACGAGCGAAGAGAGGGAAGGAGAUGGGGAUCGGGCAGGAGCGCAUACGUGCGUUGGCGGCGCUGUAGGAGGAACGAGCGGAGAUGGGAUCGAGAGGAGAUGGAGGUUGCGGCUGUGCCUUGGGCCGUCUAG